rnacentral:rRNA from 1 species
AUGUGGGAUCUCAAUGACUCGCCGGCCGCCGAGGCGCCGCCGCUGUCCCCCUCCGUCGACGACUCCGGCGCCUCCUCCUCGUCCGCCGCCGCGGUCGUCGAGAUACCCGACGACGCCGACGACGACUCCGCCGAGGCCGUCGUCACGCGCCAGUUCUUCCCCCCGGCCGCCCCGGGCGAGGCCGCCGCCGGGAACGGCCGCGCCGCGUGGCUCCGCCUGGCCGGCGCCCCCGCGCCCGCCGUGGCCGCAGCAGCCGCCGGAGCAGGAGCAGCAGGAGGCCCCGCGGCUGCGGCGGCGGCCAAGAAGAGCCGGCGCGGGCCGCGGUCGCGCAGCUCGCAGUACCGCGGCGUCACCUUCUACCGCCGGACGGGGCGGUGGGAGUCGCACAUAUGGGAUUGCGGCAAGCAGGUCUAUCUGGGAGGAUUCGACACUGCUCAUGCGGCGGCUCGGGCGUACGAUCGGGCGGCGAUCAAGUUCCGCGGCAUGGAGGCCGACAUCAACUUCAGCCUGGAGGAUUACGACGACAUCAAGCAGAUGGGCAACCUGACCAAGGAGGAGUUCGUCCACGUGCUCCGGCGGCAGAGCACGGGGUUCCCCCGGGGGAGCUCCAAGUACAGGGGCGUCACGCUCCACAAGUGCGGCAGGUGGGAGGCGCGGAUGGGCCAGUUCCUCGGCAAGAAGUACGUCUACUUGGGGCUGUUCGAUACCGAGGAGGAAGCCGCCAGGUCGUACGACCGCGCUGCCAUCAAGUGCAACGGCAAGGAUGCGGUGACAAACUUCGAUCCCAGCACCUACGCCGAGGAGUUCGAGCCAGCGGCCUCGACGGGCGACGCGGAGCAGAACCUGGACCUGUCGCUGGGGAGCUCGGGGGGGUUCAUGGGCAGCGCCGAUCCGGGGACCGCGGGGGGCCUGUCGCUGACGGUCGGCGCCGGCGCCGGCGGGUUGGCCGGGCACUGGCCUCCGCACCACCAAUACCAGCCGCCGCCGAACAACGCUGCCGCCGCCGCAGCAGCAGCUGCAGCAUCAUCACGAUUCCCACCCUACAUCGCCGCGCAGGCGCAGAGCUGGCUCCAGAAGAACGGCUUCCACUCCCUGGCCAGACCCACCUAA